GUGGGGUUUAACGGCUGAGUUCUCUGAGCUCCCGUGAGUGACAACACAUUAAUGGAAAGGCCCUUCAGCAAGCCCCUUUUUUAUAGCUAAUGUCCACUUCAGCAGGGAGCUCUGUGUGACCUGCAGGCCUGAGUAGCUCCAGGUGGCAUCACUAUGCUGGUGUGUUGCUGGACACGAGCAGCUUUUAUUCAUGAGAUGUUCCAGAUAUUGCCAGCUCUUGAUACCCAAGUCCUAGAGUAAAGAUGGCACAGAGUGGAGCUCCAAGCCAACCUGCGAUGGAUGUGUAAAUUGAGCUAGAAAUAAAUCUUUGGGUUUUUUGAAGGAGCUGAGACUUUGGUGUUGUCUGUUAUUGCAACACAACCCUAGCAUUAUUAAUGGGAUAAUAUGCAUAAGAUGUUGGACCAAUGGUAAAGCAUUAAUAUAUGUCUUUUGUGGUAAUAAUAACUACCAAUCAUUCAGUGCCUUCUAUGUGUCAGGCAUUUCUAUACAUUAUUUCUAAUCUUCAGAAAAAUCUUGCAUAUUAGAAAAACUUCCACUUUAUAAAGGAGAAAAACAAAUCUUGGGAUGGUUAGUGUUCUGCCUAAGGUAUCCAGCUAGGAAGUUGUAGAGCUGGGAUUCAGAUCUGGUGUGUUUCUCCUCAUCUUCAUCUCUUUUCCUUGUCUUUGGAACUUUAUGGCCUUAUUUUAUUGUUGUUUACAUCAUGGUGUGAAUUUCUUUGCAACAUUUGUUUAUGAAAUUCAAAUUAAUUCUUGUAACAAAAUCUCUACCUUCUUGAACUUUUUGCAAGAUAAACAGAAAUAAAUUGAGUUAAAUGUACAGUAGCUUACUAUAUCAAGUCCCUGCUUGUUCUUCAGAAAGCUCAUGAACUCAAGUACCUUUUUCAUUUUUUCUUGGCUUGAAUAUGCCUGAGAGCAGUUAAGAUUUACAUGCUUAUGAAAGGAAAAAAUUGUUUCAAAAUUAGAGUAGAGUGAGUCAGAUUAGAAUAAGUUAGAUUCAGUAAAUUCUCAAACCUGCAUGUUUACAGUCUCUCCCUCUUUCUUAUAACAGCUUUAUGGAGUGUUCACGUACCAUGCAAUUCACCCAUUUAAAGUGUAUGGUUCAAUGACCUUUAGUAUAUUCACAGAGUUGUGCAUCCAUCACCACAAUCAAUUUGAGAACAUUUUUACUACCCCAAAAAGAAACCCCAUGCAUCUUAGCCAUAACGCCCAACUGCCUCACCCACUCCACCCACCCCCAGCCCUAGGCAACUACUGAUCUACUUUCUGGAGUCUGUCUCUUUUUACAAUGGCUCCCAAAAUGACGGUUUCCCACCAUC